CGGGAGAUCCUACAGGACGCUGCCAAGAUCGACGCAUCCCUGCUGGCGCCGUGGCAGAAGAUCAACGCCCUCAACACUUUCCUGAUCCCCCGCAUCGCCUUCGUCCUGAGAGGCUCCGCCGUGGCAAAGGUGCCCCUCAACAGGGCAGACAACACCAUCCAGCAGCUGGUUAAGCAGUGGCUGUUCCUGCCCCAGAGAGCCAGCAAUGAGCUCAUAUACAUUGCCCACAGGCACGGCGGUGCCAACGUCCCCCGCAUGGGUGACCUCUGCGACAUUGCGGUCGUCACGCACGCCUUCCGCCUCCUGACGUGCCCGGACGCCACGGUAAAGAACGCCGCAGCGGCCGCCCUACGCACCGUCAUCGAGAAGCGAAUUGGCAGGCCUCCGUCCGGCCCGGAUGUAGCCACUUUCCUGAGCGGCUCCCUGGAUGGCGAAUUCGCCCGGGAUGGGGGCGACAUCGCCUCGCUGUGGUCCCGCGCCCGAAACGCCACGCGCCGGCUGGGAAAACGACUGGGCUGCCGCUGGGUAUGGAGCGAGGAACGGCAGGAGCUGGGAGUCCUGGUGCCGCGAAUCGAGACGGAGGGCAACACCAUCAUCAGCCCUGGAGCCAGGGGCGUGCUGGAGAAAUCACUGAAGGCCGCUGUCCACGCGCUCUACGUGGACACCCUGAGGAAAAAACCUGACCAGGGCAAGGCCUUUGAGGUGACCAGCAAGUGGGACUCCAGCAAUCACUUCCUCCCUGCGGGCAGCUUCACCCGUUUCGCCGACUGGCGGUUCAUACACCGCGCCCGCCUGAACUGCGUCCCGCUCAACGGAGCCGUCCACCACGGGAACCGAGACAAGCACUGCAGGAAGUGCGGAUACGCCCUGGAGACCUUGCCCCACGUGCUGUGCAGCUGCAAACCCCACGCCAGAGCCUGGCAGCUGCGCCACAAUGCUGUCCAGGACCGGCUGAUGAAGGCCAUUGCCCCACACCUGGGUGAUAUUGCAGUCAACCGCACCAUCCCCGACACCGACAGCCUGCUGCGCCCAGACAUCGUCGUCACCGACGAGGA
rnacentral:lncRNA from 1 species